GCCAGACUCCUACGGGAGGCAGCAGUGAGGAAUAUUGGUCAAUGGGCGCAAGCCUGAACCAGCCAAGUCGCGUGAGGGAUGACGGUCCUAUGGAUUGUAAACCUCUUUUGUCGGGGAGCAAGGCCCGCCACGUGUGGCGGGAAGGAGAGUACCCGAAGAAAAAGCAUCGGCUAACUCCGUGCCAGCAGCCGCGGUAAUACGGAGGAUGCGAGCGUUAUCCGGAAUUAUUGGGUGUAAAGGGUGCGUAGACGGGACAGCAAGUUAGUUGUGAAAGCCCUCGGCUUAACUGAGGAACUGCAACUAAAACUAUUGUUCUUGAGUGCAGGAGAGGAAAGCGGAAUUCCUAGUGUAGCGGUGAAAUGCGUAGAUAUUAGGAGGAACACCAGUGGCGAAGGCGGCUUUCUGGACUGUAACUGACGUUGAGGCACGAAAGUGUGGGGAGCAAACAGGAUUAGAUACCCUUGUAGGG
rnacentral:rRNA from 1 species